GGACCAAUCCGCGCGGGGAACAUCUGGGCACCCACCUCCGCGGGCUGCGGCCGGGAGGUGAUGCGCUCCUCAGUGGCUGCAGGGACCCGCAGGAGCUGCCACCACCACCACCACCGCUACCACCACCUCCACCGCCACCACCUCCUCCAGGAGCAGCGAGGGAAGGACGGAGCAGCCCUCCCUCUGGAGCCGGGGCUCGCUGGGAAACCGUUCAGCAGUGCCGUGCUGCCAGAAAUGCUCGCUGGGCCCGUGCGAGGGGGAAAUCUUACCAGAACUGCUGAGAUUAUCCCAGAAAGACCCUUUGCAGACUGACUCCGCAUCCUCAGAGCUGGUCUGAUCAGGGCCUACCAAAGACAUUAACGACGUCGAAAGUAGCCUACUUUAAGAGAAAAUAUGCAGAAGAAGAACAUUUACAUCAAGAUUACCAUGAGUAUUGUCCAAAACACUUGAUAUUACCAGAGGACCGGACUUGUAUCCUAAAACUGUCUCUCCAGAAACUCCGCUUCCUGGACGACCCCGAAGCCUAUCUCCGUAGGUCUGUACUAAUUAACAAUCUGUUGAGGAAGAUUCACCUAGAGACAGAGAGGGAGAGCUAUGAAUACUUUAAGGAGGCUCCGUGCUAUAGGACUGCUUACUCUGACGCGCGAAAACGGCUGAAGUUUAUGGUGCAGGAGUGCUGUUCCCAGUCGCUCUAUUAUGAAGAGCUGCACUCGUAUCGCAUCGUGCCUUACUCUGCAGAGAACGCCGUUUACGGGAUGGGCUACACGGGCAGCCACCUGGAGCAAAAUUCUCAGUUGCUUAUUUAUAAAAUGAAUUAAAGUAGCUGUUAGACCCACUGAUGUUUGUUUCUGAAUGCUUGAACUGCUUACCGAGGUGUUAAGGUGAGGCACUAAUUGCAGAUGAAAGGCGGAUGCGUUGGGAGCUGAGUGGAAGGUACUUUGGAUAAUGCUGUGCAGCCCCCGCUGUUAAACCCCCCGGCUGUGAAGUACCUUGCUGUACACACAGAGCUGGUGCAAUACGGAGGUCCUUACCCGCAGAGACUGCGUGCAGCGCGCUUUGUAGAAACAAAGCUGCAUUUUUAAGUUCCCUGUGUGUAGAUACAGACGUUCCAAAUCCCUCUUACAGUUAAAUUACGCCAUCCCUGGUGGAAGGGGAACCGCCCAAAGCAGUGGAGUAGUCUAACAGUGAGGAGUAAAACCCAAGUUAUCUUCUGUAAAGUUAUAGCUAGAAAGUUUCUUUGAGAAAUGCUUUGACCAUGGAGGAGUCAGUGCCAAAGGAAUCAGCCUUUAGUUUAGGAUUUUCAGAGACUGAACUCGCUUGCUACUUACAAGGUACUCUAUACUGAGAUUUGCAAGGGUUUGUGGGUUGUUGUUUUUUUGUCUUUUUUUUUUAAAUGAUUGCAUUCAUCUUUUACUUACAUUAUCUCUUAGCUGGUAUCUACUUUGCUAUUUUAAUAAGAACCAGAAUGACUCACAGGAAAGAUUGUUUCUUCAGCCCAUCGUUGGUGUUCCCUUAACUUCAUUUGCCUCUUUCCCUAGCUGUUUCCCUGAUACUUCUUUGCAUGCUAAUUUUGCUGUUUGGCCCGAGGUUCACACUAGUGCUAGGGAAUAGACAGCAAUUUCUUUUUAUGUGGAAUAUAACAGGCAGAAAAGCAAUGAUAACCCUCGUAGAUAGAGAAUGAAUGUAUCUGACAGAUGCUGAUAAGGCCUCAGAGGUUCUGGUGAAAUUGCUCAGCAUUAGUAAUAAUGUUUCAGGUUAAGUGAAAUGUCUAAUUUCCAAUCUGGGAAUUAACUUUAGAAGAUGUAAAUACGUAUUUCACAAGCUACGACACGCGAGAUGUUCAGCAAACGGAAUGACUACAAGUGGAAAGUUUUACAGCUGCCAAAGCUACGUCAUGAAAAUACCAAAGAGUAACACAAGGGAAAAGAUGAUGCUCCAGCAAUGGGGUCAAAAGCAAAGAUUGCACUAUAAUCUGGGGAAAUGUGAUUAACGAGCCUGUAAAUUAGCCGUUAGAGAUACACCUGCAGUUCACCCACGGGUGACCUGCAUCCCAGAAUUGCUGAACAAAUAAUGCAGAAGAUGAUUCAAAGCCUGUCAAAGCCCUGCAGGUCUGUUGGCUUACAGCAAAGAAACUGGCUUUGCCUCGCUGGCUAUCACCACUUUAAAGCUUUAAAGCGAAGUAAAUAAUAGCGCACACUCAGCUGGAGGCAGAAAUAUAUAUAUAUAAAAGAACCUAAUUUUUAUUAUUAUUAUUUUGAAAGCCUUUGCUCGUGCAGAUGUGGCUGAUGCUAUUUCUGAAGCAUUAUACAGUAUGAACAAAUACCAUGGCUUGCCAGGAACGUGCUUUGUGUCAGGUUCCUCCUGUCACCCUGCUUAGAGCAUCGUAGUCAUGUGUGUUGCACGUAUCAUCACAGCUCUCAGGCACGUUAGUGCAGGAGAAAAGGCAGGAAGGCAAAAGCAAGAGGUGUGAAGAACAAAGUUUCUCUGGUAUCAGUGGUUAGAAGGUGGUAGAGGUAUAAGAGAUAGAAGGAAGCAGUAAAAUCCAGAUUUUAUU